CGAAACCUUUGAUCAUGUUCUGUAGAGUACACCCGCUCAACUGAUCCAAUGCAACCAAUACAGUAUUGGAAGCUUUCUACGAACAAGGCACCCAGAGAGGUCUCGGAGGAAGAUGACAGUGCCAACGGGCACAGGGAGAAUCGUGAGCUUACUGCACCUUCCCAGCAGGCGGAGUGAGCACGUAGGACAAGAGCCCCCUUUCUCCGUUUCCCAUCUGCCCUGCAGCCCCGAGGAACGGGUUUAAAAGAGACUAUUCCUCAUUCUUUUGACAUCAUUUUAAAUGAGAAUGCAGAAUAUGACAUUGUACGUACUGAUAUUUGAUUCUUUUUACAUAACCUUUUAUGUAUUAAAAAACUGCACUGAAAAUCUAGAAUUAAGUUAAAAUUGACGUGGGUUAUUUGUGAAUGGUGGGAUUUUUUAAAUGUAUUCCAACACCCAUAUAUUCCAACUUUUCCACACUUCCAAAGUCUGGAAUACUUUGAGGAUGGGGAGGAAAGAUAUGUUUACGGUCCUUGGGAAACUGAAAAGCAUUUCCUGUGAUGUCCCAG
rnacentral:lncRNA from 1 species